UUUCUAGUUGUUGCUGAGACGAUACUUCUUACUAAUGUUCAUGCAUACAUACAUACAUGCGUUUUUCGCAUUAACACCGACAUAUAUACAGAGGAGUCAAUUUUUUUGUGUGUUGUUGUUGUAACGUUUUCUUUCUCAAGUAGGCAUUUUUUGGUGCAUGGACAAUAGAAAAGAAAUAAACGUCUCAGCAACAGUUUCCAUCCCUCUUGCCGCGCACACACCACACAUAGUUCCAUCAGCAAUCGGCAGUGUUUGCUUGGUGAGAACAAAAGAGCGUAACAUUGGCGCGUGUCUCAACUUGAGUGUCUCAACUUAAGACACGCACCAAUGUUACGCUCUUUUGCUCUCACCAAGCAAACACUGCCGAUCGCUGCUGUAACUAUGUGUGGUGUGUGCGCGGCAAGAGGGAUGGAAACUGUUGCUGAGACGUUUAUUUCUUUUCUAUUGUCCAUGCACCAAAAAAUGCCAACAACAACACACAAAGAGCUGUUUGGAUGUUUUUUUGUUGCUGAGACGUUGCUUCUUACUAAUGUUCAUGCAUACAUACAUACAUGCGUUUUUCGCAUACACACCGAUUUGCUUGAUGAGAACAAAAGAGCGUAACAUUUGCGCGUGUCUCAUGUUGGCAUUCUGGUUGUGUUCUUUUUUUAUUCUUUUUAUUUGUUUUGUGCCUUCGCGUCGUGUCACAAGUGUUGUAAUAAAUGUUGAUACCAACUGUUUUGGGGGAAGACAAAUAUUUGUCGAAGCGCCGGAGCCUUUAAAUCUACAAAGCUUUAUAAAAGCAGCCAAAUUAGAGUUAAAAAUUGAUGCCUCAAGAAAAAUAACAGCCUUAGUGUUUGGUGCAACCAUUAAAGAAGACCAGUUUGAAAAAGUAAUUCAUCAAUAUAUGUCAACACCUACUUUUCAUAUUGAGUUGCAAUUUGGAGACUCCGUUCGAUCAGUGGCAUCAGCAUCGACAGUUAGUGGCACUCUAUCGGAGUGUGAAUCCGUAGGUGGUUUUGGGGAUCUUACCCCAAAAACAAAUGUUAUUUCAACUUUAAAGACUGACAUAGAGUCCAUCAAGUCAAUUCCGGCUGUCAACAAAAUAUGGAGAAUUUUUAUUGCCGAAAAACGCCUGCAAAAUAAAGAUAGGGUGAAUAUUUCGAAGGCCCUUAUUGACGAAUGUCUAAAAGAAGACCCUAACAGAUUGUAAGUAUUUUACUUUAUUGAAAAAAUAGUGA